rnacentral:lncRNA from 1 species
CAAAAAUCAGCCGGGCAUGGUGGCGCACACCUGUAAUCCCAGCUACUUAGGAGGCUGAGCCAGGAGAAUCACUUGAACCCAGGAAGUGGAGGUUGUAGGCCAACAGAGUGAGACUCCAUCUCAAAAGAAAAAAAAAAAGCUAUGGAUCACAAUAAACAAAAAUACCAGCAUAAAUCCUUAUCCUUUUUUUCUUUCUGAGACAGGGUCUCACUCUGUCGCCCCAGGCUGAAGUGCAAUGGCACAACUCACUGCAGCCUUGACUGCCCUGGCUCAAGCGAUCCUCUCUCGCCUCAGCCUCCUGAGUAGCUGAGACUACAGGGAUGUACCACCAUACCCGGCUAAUUUUUUCUGUUUUUUUUGUAGAGACAGGGUUUCGUCAUGUUGCCCAGGCUGGUCUCAAACUCCUGAACUCAACCGAUCCGCCCGUCUUGGCCUCCCAGCAUGCUGGGAUUACAGGCAUGAGCCACGGCGCCUGGCCUAGCAUAAAUCCUUAAAAGCAUUUAAUGAGAAAAUAAUUUGGGGUCUAAAUACACAUUUUUCCCCCCAGACAAACGAGAUACCGAAACAGAUGUAACAACCAAAUAUAACCUUAAAACCUAAAAAUCUGGAGAAGUGAGUCAAGUUCAGCUCAUUAAGCUGACACCUAUUAAAGCGCCAUAAGAAAAACAGCCUGAAACACCAUCAAAACAGAUAAGAAAAUCAUUGUUUAUAAUAGUUAUCGAAGGUCGAGGUUUUUUUGGUUUAAUUUUGCAUUUACUUAAAACUCUGUGUUUGAUGCCAACAGGGUUCAAGUUGCACAGGAAGGUGCUUCGGCUAAACACGGAUAGUCUUCCUUGAUCUCCACUGUCUGCUGUGUGGGUUCCGCCAGCAAACCUCCCAGCGAGUGGUCACCUUCCUAUGGAGUCAUUAAACCUCUGAAUGUCAGCUGGUGGGAUUAGCCAGCAGCUUCCACACCUGAGCCCCCGUGGCAGGGACAGAGGCAUUUGGAUCAAGAUCACUAAUGAAUACAGAAUUCAUAUGCCGCUUGUCAGGGCUCCUGAGCUCAGAGUCGCACAGAUGCAACCUAAAUAAGACGGAGGACAGAACAAUCGUUGACAAAGAUUAAAAAGUUUUGGCAGUUGGGAAAAAAAGAGCACCUCAUUAUUCAAAUAUGAUAGUCUUGCUUAUUUUUUUUAUUUUUGUUCAAGUUAUUCAUGAUUCACCUCAAAUGGACAAAUGCCAUUCACCAAUAUUUAAAGACUUCUUGGUCUCAUUACUAAAUCUGAAGAGGGCUGUGCUGUCUGUACAUCAGCUAUAUGGAGAAAACAGCUCUCCUGUAAAACAGCUCUCUUGUAAAUAAUAUUUGAAAAUUUUAAGGGAAUAUAACAAUCACAAGCUAUUUAGGGUGGAGGGCAGUUUAAAAAUGAAAAAAAAAAUCUAGAAUUAAAA